GACGAACCGUGCAAACGUUAUUCGGAAUCACUGGGCAUAAAGGGCGUGUAGGCGGCUCCAAAAGUCAGGGGUGAAAUCCGGCAGCUUAACUGUCGCAGUGCCUUUGAUACUGUGGAGCUAGAGGGAGGUAGGGGUCUGUGGAACUUCCGGUGGAGCGGUGAAAUGCGUUGAUAUCGGAAGGAACGCCGGUGGCGAAAGCGACGGACUGGAUCUCUUCUGACGCUGAGGCGCGAAAGCCAGGGGAGCAAAGCGGG
rnacentral:rRNA from 1 species